rnacentral:tRNA from 1 species
GGUGCUAUAGUGUAGUGGUUAUCACUCGGGAUUUUGAUCAAAUUUGAUUGAUGAUUCCUUCCCGAAACCCAGGUUCGAACCCUGGUAGCACCU